AUCCUUAAGACAUAGCGAGCGACAAAAGACAAACGCUGUCACGCGCGACGAGUGUUUCGUGUCCAUGAUUGUAAUUCUGUGUUCUGUGUGCCUUGUGGUGCCGCGACCGCGUGCUACUUCAUCAUUUGGAGUCCACUUUCCUGUAUUUUAGAUUCGUUAUUUUGCUGUUCUAUAACAUGGCUGAUGAAGAGACUCGAAAAAUAUUAAAAGAUUUGAAGCUGGAAAAUCUCAUUGAAAAUUUUGAAAAAAACAAGAUUACUAAAGACACAUUAGAACAUUUAUCAGAAGCUAUAAUAUCUGAAUUAAUACCGAUUAUUGGUCAAAGAG
rnacentral:lncRNA from 13 species